rnacentral:sRNA from 1 species
AGACAAUGGAGAAGAGGGCUGGGGAAACAGUUUAGGGCUCAUUUUAUAGGAGAGUUUCUAAUCAUGGAAGCCGGGCAAAGAUGAAAUAGACUGGAACUGCAAUCAUAAAGGACCUCUAGAAAUGGAAGAUACCCUAUUUGUCCUUUCAACCAGAGCUUCCCACCCAGUGGCCAGAGCACACUGGUGGAUGGUAAGAAGAGUUCCUGGGUCAAGCGGUCACCUUCAUAAAACUGAAGACGGGGACUGGGAGUGGAGUGACGAUGAGAUGGAUGAGAAGAGCGAAGAAGGGAAAGCAGCUUUUUCUCAGGAAAAGUCACGAAGAGUAAAAGAAGAAAAUCCAGAGAUUGCAGUGAAUGCCAGCACCAUCCCUGAACAAAUACAGUCCCUCUCUGUGCACGACUCUCAGGGCCCACCCAAUGCUAAUGAAGACUAUAGAGAAGCUUCUUCUUGUGCCGUGAACCUCGUUUUGAGAUUAAGAAACUCCAGAAAGGAACUUAAUGACAUACGAUUUGAGUUUACUCCAGGAAGAGAUACAGCAGAUGGUGUAUCUCAGGAGCUCUUCUCUGCUGGCUUGGUGGAUGGUCAUGAUGUAGUUAUAGUGGCUGCUAAUUUACAGAAGAUUGUAGAUGAUCCCAAAGCUUUAAAAACAUUGACAUUUAAGUUGGCUUCUGGCUGUGAUGGGUCGGAGAUUCCUGAUGAAGUGAAGCUGAUUGGGUUUGCUCAGUUGAGUGUCAGCUGAUGUAUGUCCCUUGAUGUCACCCUGAUCUGUCAUGUCCCACCCCCAUCCCUACUCCCUUCAACCCUCCCUCUUCCCAUUUCCUCCCACCCCCUCACUCCCAUUUCCUAGCAAAAUCAGAAGAUUGUGAAGAGGCCGGCUUCAACAAAAUGGGAUAAAAAAAUAAUAUUUUAAAAUUUACAACACUCCGAGUUCUGCUUUAUUCUCUAGCAAUCCACAGUACAAGAACAAGCAAAUGCCACAGCUGCACGACUGUUGCUAAUUUUUCCAAAAGGUGUUUAAUAUUCUUAGCAAUCAAUUUGGAUAUCCCUUAAGUGAAAAGAAUCUGAAAUACACUCAGGUGGUCUUAUUUAUUGGCAACAAAAGGAAUUUUCUAUCCAGAAGCCUAUUUCUCCUUUCAUUGUUGUUAUUUCUGUUAUAAUACUUUAAUUGUACAUCUGACAGUACUGCCUCUUUUAUGUUGUAUUUAGAAAUUAAUAUACUUAUAAAAUUAAGAUUUAUUAGCCAAACUUGAAUUCUAGUUUUAAAACUGACUGUGAAUUUUAUUUUUCAUAUAUUUAUGCAUUACACACCUUAGCUAUAAGAAAAAAAGGGUUUUGAUUAUAUGCUUCUUGCAGUUAAUCUCGUUAUUUAAACAAAAAGUUUUGGGUCUAUCUUUGGAGUAUUUGUAACUUCUAAAUUUUGAAAUGACUGAAUUAGGAAUUUGGAUGCUUAUUCUUUUAGUCUGUUUGCCUAAAAACCAAUUUACAAUCUGACUGUCUCUUGGGAGAGGGAGGUGCCUUGCAAACUUUCACAUUAAGAAUGUGCCUGAGGCUGCUUUACUCUGAAAUAGUCUCAGAUCUAAAAUUUCCUCUAUAUAAGGUGGCAUAUGUUAAGUUUUGCUUCAUUGGACCGUUUAGAAUGCUAUGUAAAAUGUUGCCAUUCUGUUAGAUUGCUAACUAUAUACCCAUCUCUGAUUUGGCUCUCCUUAAGUGAUAGGAUUUGUUAUUCUAAAGGUGAUAAACUUGAAAAUAUCAGAAUCUGAGUUUUACUUGAAAUUUUGCAGAAUACCCAGGUGGAGUGAAAAUUGGAAGGGUUUUGUGCAAUGACUAAAAGGUAAAACGUUGUUAAGGUUCAAGAAUAAAUACUUUCAACCCAAGUAGCCCUCUGCUUGACUGUAUAUUAUGGAACUAGUAAACCUUAGGAUUUUGAAAAUUGGAGUCUAAUCUUUCAGGGAGGUGGGCUCCCAGGAUGGUACCAUUGCUCUUUCCUAGCUAACCCUAGAUAUGGCAGCUCUUUAAUGUACUUUAAAAAGCAAAUAUAUAUUACUAAGGAAAAAAAGUUAUUUAUAAUUGCCUUGUCAUAAUUGUUAAGGUGUUCUAGAGCCAUUUGCAUACAAUUUAAUGUAAUUUCAUUCCAUUCUAUUGUUUACACAAUGAUUACUCAAAGAUGACUGCAAAGGUAAAAGGAAAAUAAAAGUGUAUUGCACAACGAGA